AUGUUGCGUGAACGGUUGAAGUGGUAUCCUUUUGCUUUUUUUGCAAAAGAUUUAACGAAAGACGCGACGGUAA
rnacentral:misc_RNA from 1 species